UACAGAGGGUGCAAGCGUUGUUCGGAAUUAUUGGGCGUAAAGGGCGCGUAGGCGGUAUUACAAGUCGGAUGUGAAAGCCCAUGGCUCAACCAUGGAAGUGCAUUCGAAACUGUAGAACUAGAGUCUUGGAGAGGGUGGUGGAAUUCCCGGUGUAGAGGUGAAAUUCGUAGAUAUCGGGAGGAACAUCAGUGGCGAAGGCGACCACCUGGCUGAAGACUGACGCUGAGGCGCGAAAGCGUGGGGAUCAAACAGG
rnacentral:rRNA from 1 species